AGGCAGGUGGCAAUUAUCAGUCACCUGCUGAAUAGCUGGAAGCAAAUAUUGGUAUAGCAAAAAUGUGUGGGAGGAGGUGAGAGCUUCAAUGGAAAAUGGGAGAGACUCUACUGGGUUCUUUAAUGCCACUGGAGAGCGGAAUUCACACUUCCCAGGGCUAAAGGAGCAGUGGAGUGGAAGUACUCCUACAAGAUGGGAAAAGUUGUGCAUUCAGCAAUCCGUGACGAGCACACGUUGAGGCAGACAACGCCAUGCUGGAACUCUGCCUGCCUGAUAGACACCCAGAGAUGGGGCUAUUUGUGUUGGUAAAGUUUGUAUCAGUCAGAAUGGAGAGGUGGCGGCAACUGUGGAUGGAGACAGCCAUUUGGGAAUGUUCAAAUCAUGUUAGCUGCACUUUGUUUCACAUGCAAUAUUCCCUUUGUUCUCUCAUGAAAAUGCUAAAGAAACAGAAAAUGCCUUUCCAGGAAUUGUCAGGGAUCUAACUACAGAUGCGACUCAUUCAUUUAGAACAACACAAAGAAUUUGUGAAGACAGUUCAGACGUAACAUGCUUCCGGUGUCUAGGUAUUCUGGUUUUCCUUCAAGUCAAGAAUAUGACUAAGGCACCUACAUGAACUAGGUAUUUCACAAAGAAGUACACUCAUAGCACAACAGAUGCUAUCUGUGAGUCUUUCAUGUACCAGUAAAAUGCUGUUUAUGAUAUUUUCUGAUGGACUAUCAGAUACCAAAGUUAAACAUUUCUAAAGUUGGUAUGUUAUUUGUUUAUGUUAAAGAUGCCUCAUUAUAUACCCUGAUCUCUGGCUUAUAAUGUGAUCAAAAUACGAUGUUUAUAAAUCUACUUAUUGAGCUGUAACGUCUAUACCCUCACUAAGAAUAAGUCUUCUCUUCAGCACCUUUACCUGGGUCUCUUGUAGGUAAUUGCAAAGAAAAAUUCAAGAAGCUGUUAAAAUUGUGGCUAUGGAAGUGGCAAGGAGAAAUGUGCACAGAAUUUCUUUUAUGGGUAUUGCUUAGAUGUUAUUUUUUUGCUAAGACUUUACUGGUAUGAUUUUGUAUUCAGAGUUGUUUAUGAUCUUUGGCUGUCUGCUCUAAAGGAAACUUGGAAAACUCCUUUUCUAAGUUUUAUGGAGAUGUAAUAGACACUUAACACCACAUAAGUUUAAGAUGUACGGCUCAAUGACUCGACUUUCAUAUAUGGCGAAUGGUUGAGAAAACUCAGUCUUGACUCGAGCACAAAAGUGUGACAUUGUAAAAUUAAGUAUUUGGGGGGAUGAUUAUAUUUUUAAGGAUCUUUUAAAAGAUGGUUUUAACCAGCAGUUAGUUUUGUUAAGUUGAGGUCAUUGUUAAAUGCAUUCACGCUGUCUUUUCACUGGUAAAGUUUUAGCUAUGAAAAAUAUCUGUUAACAUAUAGUGGUGGAUACAUUUGACAGUUUUGAGACAUCUCUAUGCAGGUUAAUAGAAUAGAACAUCAAACACUACUUUAACUUUCCAAGGAGCAAUGCCAAAAUAUUUGCACUUUUGGGUAUGUCUGAUCUGGUAAUAAUUUGUAUAAAAUAUGUGAAUUGAAAAAUUAAAAGGAUGAAAGCUACAAAAAUUAUAAAAGUCCUGGGCGACUAUUUAUGUGUGUGUAUAUAUAUAUUUAUUUGUAUUACUUCCUUAUUAAUGGUACAACACUUAUUGAAUAG